rnacentral:rRNA from 1 species
GUCUUUAAGAAAUUAAUUUAAAGUCAAAUCUGCCCAAUGAUAUUAAUUUAAUGGCUGCAGUAUAUUAACUGUACUAAGGUAGCAUAAUAAUUUGUUUUUUAAUUAAAAACUAGAAUGAAAGAUUAAAUGAAAUAAUAACUAUUUCAAUUAAAUUUAAAUUAAAUUUAUUAUUUAAGUAAAAAAACUUAAAUUUUUUAUAAAGACGAUAAGACCCUAUAGAAUUUUAUUUAAUUAUAUUAAUAAUUUAAAUUAAUUAAAUUUAAUUGGGGAAAUUAAAUAAUUUAAUAAAUUUUUUUUAUAUUAUACAUUUAUUAAUGAAUAAUUUAUCUUAAAAUUUAACUUAAAAAAUUAAUUACCUUAGGGAUAACAGCAUAAUUUUUUUUGAAAGUUCAUAUUAAUAAAAAAGAUUAU